UAAGGAAUAUUGGUCAAUGGACGCAAGUCUGAACCAGCCAUGCCGCGUGAAGGAUGAAGGUCCUCUGGAUUGUAAACUUCUUUUAUGUGGGAAGAAACCACUCUUAUCUAAGGGUGUUGACGGUACCAUAGGAAUAAGCACCGGCUAACUCCGUGCCAGCAGCCGCGGUAAUACGGAGGGUGCAAGCGUUAUCCGGAUUCACUGGGUUUAAAGGGUGCGUAGGCGGAUUAGUAAGUCCGUGGUGAAAUCUCCAAGCUUAACUUGGAAACUGCCGUGGAUACUAUUAGUCUUGAAUGUUGUGGAGGUUAGCGGAAUAUGUCAUGUAGCGGUGAAAUGCAUAGAUAUGACAUAGAACACCAAUUGCGAAGGCAGCUGGCUACACAAAUAUUGACGCUGAUGCACGAAAGCGUGGGGAUCAAACAGG
rnacentral:rRNA from 1 species